GCUCCGGUGGUGUAGUAGCAUAAAAUGCUGCACAAUCCGGUCAAGCAUUGCGGCCUUUCGAGUCGCAGAUCCCGGGUUCAAAUCCCGGCCGGAGCA
rnacentral:tRNA from 1 species